rnacentral:misc_RNA from 1 species
GAAGUCAAUGAAGAAUAUGAUGAGCCAAGUCCAAGUGUGCAGAAAGACUCAAAAUCAGCAAAGUCAGGCCAGUCAAAAACCUCAACCAAAACACAAAAUGUCAUGCUGAUGAACCAGAAGGGUGAGAUUGAUGUGGUAGACAGCCAGACAUACAAUGAAUCUCUUGUCAAUGGAGGAGCUGUUAAGCUUGCUUCACAGCUCCAUGUCAAAGCCAGUGAAUCAAGUACAGACCUUAAUCCAAUGCAUUCAACCCUGAGCUCUCUGAUUGAAUCCACUGCUGCAAGUGCAGGAACCAGUUCAUCUGCUGCUGAUUUGCAGGAUCCCCAACAGUACCUGUUACAGACCAUCAACAUUCCUAUAUCCCAGGAGGUUGCUCUAGGAGAUGUAGACGCAGCUCAGCUGCUGUUGAAUCAUGUUAGUGGAGAUCAGCUUCACCACACAGAUCAUCCUUACACUUUGGAAACACCAAUCAACUUAGUGCAGGGAAAUUCCCAAAACUUGAGUACCACAGAACAAGGCCAGAAAACUUACACAACAGAAGAAAUCCAAGCUAUGCUUGCAAAUACAGGGAGACAGUAUGCGCAGCAUAGCAAGACUCAGAGUGAAACAUUCAUACAGAUGGUACCUGCUGCCCAGCUUCAACAUGUACAGCUACAGGAUAGCUCACCUCAAAAUAACCUGAAUAUCGGCCAGUCCUCUGCAGUCACCUCUCAAGAAGUCCCUUUACAAAACAUGUCCCCCAUUAAGAAACAGAUACAAUAUCAGUACCAGAUGAAUGCAGAUCCUGCUCACUCCAUCCAGUUAGAUAACCAGGAUCACCCAAGCUCACUGGCAAGUCAAUUGGCAUCCUCCAACCAUUCACAGCCAUUCGGUGUCCCUCCUUCCUGUUAGCCUACAGGCCACCUUCACCCCUUCAGUCCAAUAUGUCACCAUGACUAGGAGGAAUGACUCUCAGACAACAGCAUCUACUAGUGCAGGGCCAAUAACAUAUUUUGUCAAAACUCAGAAACCUGGCACAGACACUCCCAAACUUGCCUCCAUUUUACAAAACCAGAAAAAGCCAGACGAGGAGAUCCUUCCCCCAACUCAUACUCUAUGGAAUACACCAAUCACUAUACAAGACACUGUUGCGACUAGUGCCCCUGCUGGCCAGAGAAAUCAAGGACGUCAAGCCUACAAUAAUAAUUCCGUGCCAUCUAAUGGACGAUUUGCUGCUAAUGACAGUGACAAUUAUUUUUCAACCUUCAAAUCAUGAUAUAUUAAUAUAUCAAAUAUAUUAUCAAAUUUAAAAAAAAACAAUAUGAAUUAAUGUACGUUGUGCAUAUUUAGAUGAUUUUAAUACCAUUUUGUGUAUAUUUAUUGAUAGAUGUUUAUGAGUACAUUUAUGUUUACAUUUGAUGAAUUAAAAAAAAAUCAUGAAGAAUGAAAUAAAUACAUAACAGCU